rnacentral:ncRNA from 1 species
AUGACCAAGGCGUGAAGGUUGCUUUGUCCUUCGGGAUCCGCAUCCUAAAGACUCUGGCAGAAAAGCGUUAAUCGACCCGUCUUGANACACGGACCAAGGAGUCUAACAUGUAUGCGAGUUGGCGGGUUGAAAACCCGUAAGCGCAAGUAACCUGACUGGUGGGAUGGCCUGUGCCUGCACCAUCGACCGACCAUGUUGCUUUUGCGAAAGGUUUGAGUGCGAGCAUACCUGUUGGGACCCGAAAGAUGGUGAACUAUGCCUGAGCAGGGUGAAGCCAGAGUAACCUCUGGUGGAGGCUCGUAGAUGUGCUGACGUGCAAAUCGCUUUUCAGACUUGGGUAUAGGGGCGAAAGACUAAUCGAACCAUCUAGUAGCUGGUUCCCUCCGAAGUUUCCCCCAGGAUAGCUGGAGCUUGAUCAGUUUUAUCGGGUAAAGCGAAUGAUUAGAGGUUCGGGGGAUGAAACAUCCUUCACCUAUUCUCAAACUUUAAAUAGGUAAGACGUGUCGGUUGCUUAACUGAACCGUCACAUUCAAUGUGAGCUCCAAGUGGGCCAUUUUUGGUAAGCAGAACUGGCGAUGCGGGAUGAACCGAUAGUCGAGUUAAGGUGCCAAACUGCGCGCUAACCUAGAUCCCACAAAGGGUGUUGAUUGAUAUAAACAGCAGGACGGUGGUCAUGGAAGUCGAAAUCCGCUAAGGAGUGUGUAACAACUCACCUGCCGAAUCAAUUAGCCCCGAAAAUGGAUGGCGCUUAAGCGCGCGACCUAUACUCGGCCAUGGAUGCAAGUGCGACGCGUCCAUGAGUAGGAGGGCGUGGGUGUCGAGACUAAGCCUCUGGCGUGAGCCUGGGUGAAUCGGCAUCUAGUGCAGAUCUUGGUGGUAGUAGCAAAUAUUCAAAUGAGAACUUUGAAGACUGAAGUGGAGAAAGGUUCCAUGUGACAGCAAUUGGACAUGGGUUAGUCGAUCCUAAGAGAUGGGGCAAUCCUGUGUGAAGAGCGCGAUUUGCGCUUCCCA